rnacentral:tRNA from 1 species
CAGAAAAUAAUAUAUUAUUAAGUAUACAAAUUUUGGGGAUUUGUUGAGAUUAAAUCUUUUCUGA